AUGUCUGCUCCCAUAGAAAAUCAUGACAAUCGUCCGAGUCGAGGACACAUUUAUCGUGUGUUUAUGAUUUAGCAUUACAUUGCCAUAUAUAUGUCACAGUAAAAGAUAUAUGCGAAGUCGCUAAUAUUUCGAACUAUAUUGUAUUCGUAGAUUGUUAAAAGAAAUAAUGGCAACUGCACUAUCAUACUCCAGAGUUAGGUAUCAAAAAUUGAGGAAUUUGUCCAGAUUUACAAAGAUUUUGCGAUUGCAUUCUUCAAGAUGUUGUCAAGAAAUAGACAACUUGCCUGAGUUUGGGAGCAGUGUCUUGUCAGAGCUGUCCAUGAUUGACCCAGAUCUCGAUGUUGGGAAAAAACUUGCAAACCCUAUUGAACUUCAGAAAAACAUUGAGGCUAGAGGACUCGAAAACAUAAACAUACAGAAACUGGCAAUAAAGUAUGGUAGAAUGAUGAAGAUUAAACAGGAAAAGGAUGCUUUGGAUCAAGAAAGAAAAAUGUUAAACAAUCAGAUUCAAACAAUGAUUAAAGAAAAGAUUCAAAAUGAGGAAAUUGAAAAUGUCAAAGUUAAAGCUAGGGGUUUGCGAGAACAACAUGAUACAGUAGUGAAAUCCCUACAGGAUGUGCAUCAUGAAGUGAAUUUGAUGGCAUUUGGUCUCCCUAAUACACUCAGCCUCCAGACUCCAGUGGAUAAUGAAGAGGUUCUGGAGGUCUUUGGAUCUACUGGUAAGAGGUAGAAAAAAAGGUCGUAAUUGUCAUGAUUUCUUUUCAUUUGAUCUUUACAUGAAUAUACUUAUGCAUAUACAUUAAUGUUAUUUAAAAGGAACAUAACUGAUCUAACAUACCAGUACAUAUACUAUAAUUCUGAUUUGAAAACAGUCUGAUUUAUUGCUGUAAUAUUUGUACCAUUUUACAUUUCUACAGAGAUCAAACAGAAAAAAGAUAAAUUCUCUCAUAUUGAAGUUGCUGAGAAGACUGAUUUGAUCAAAUUCAGUUCAGUUGGAGAUCAAGCUUUUUAUUUCACCGGUGAAGCAGCAGAGUUACAACAGCAUCUUCUGUCGUAUUUCUCUACAAGGGUUGUGGACCAGGGAUUCAUUCCAAUGAAGACACCUGAUUUUUUCAAAGAUUUUGUCAUUGAAGGCUGUGGAAUCCACAAAGAAAUGACAUACCUGAUGCAUCAGCCCUAUGUGGAUCAAGGAAUACAGUAUUGUGUGUUAGGAACCUCUGAAGCAUCUUUUGCAGCAUAUCUUACAAAGAUGAAUAUUUCCCAGAAAUCUUUGCCCCUUCAGCUCAUGUCAGUGGGUCCCAGCUAUAGUCCAGUGAGAAAGUCGUCGUACCCAGGGCUAUUUUCUGCAGCCCAAACUUCAAAAGUAAACCUGUUAGGAGUUAAUUCCACUUCUGAGGAGAGCUAUUCAACUUUUACAGAACUACAACAACUAAUACUGGAAAUGUACAAACAACUGGAAAUACCACUAAGACUGAUAUUAGUUCCAGCUCAUAAGCUGAAAUUGUCAGAAGAGAUUUGUGCAGAAUUACAGAUAUGGACCCCAAGUUUACAAGAAUAUUUACCGGUGGCAUCCAUAUCUGUUCUGGGAGACUACAUCAGUAGACGAUUGGCUGUCAGACCAGUGGGCGUCCCAGAAUUCCAGGCUUCUACUCUUCACAUGGUGUAUGGCGAAGUGCUCGAUACGACCAGGCUGAUAGCAGUGCUGCUGGAACAUGGAUCACUAGACAAGAAAGCUGGUACCUACCAGAUGAUGAAAUCAGACAUCUUUAACCAGUUCAACAACGAUGUUUAGAUAAAACUGAAAUAAAUUAAUAUACAUCGUACUUGUAUAUGAAAUAU
rnacentral:misc_RNA from 1 species